CAGUCGAGGGGUAUUAGUUUUCGGACUAAGAGACCGGCGCACGGGUGCGUAACGCGUAUGCAAUCUACCUUUUACAGAGGGAUAGCCCAGAGAAAUUUGGAUUAAUACCUCAUAGUAUUAUGAAGUGGCAUCACUUUAUAAUUAAAGUCACAACGGUAAAAGAUGAGCAUGCGUCCCAUUAGCUAGUUGGUAAGGUAACGGCUUACCAAGGCUACGAUGGGUAGGGGUCCUGAGAGGGAGAUCCCCCACACUGGUACUGAGACACGGACCAGACUCCUACGGGAGGCAGCAGUGAGGAAUAUUGGACAAUGGGCGCAAGCCUGAUCCAGCCAUGCCGCGUGCAGGAUGACGGUCCUAUGGAUUGUAAACUGCUUUUGUACAGGAAGAAACACUGGUUCGUGAACCAGCUUGACGGUACUGUAAGAAUAAGGAUCGGCUAACUCCGUGCCAGCAGCCGCGGUAAUACGGAGGAUCCAAGCGUUAUCCGGAAUCAUUGGGUUUAAAGGGUCCGUAGGCGGUUUAGUAAGUCAGUGGUGAAAGCCCAUCGCUCAACGGUGGAACGGCCAUUGAUACUGCUAGACUUGAAUUAUUAGGAAGUAACUAGAAUAUGUAGUGUAGCGGUGAAAUGCUUAGAGAUUACAUGGAAUACCAAUUGCGAAGGCAGGUUACUACUAAUGGAUUGACGCUGAUGGACGAAAGCGUGGGUAGCGAACAGGAUUAGAUACCCUGGUAGUCCACGCCGUAAACGAUGGAUACUAGCUGUUGGAAGCAAUUUCAGUGGCUAAGCGAAAGUGAUAAGUAUCCCACCUGGGGAGUACGUUCGCAAGAAUGAAACUCAAAGGAAUUG
rnacentral:rRNA from 1 species